UUAAGUUUAAGUUAUUUUGAUUUUUCAAUAUGAUGUAUUUUUUCUAUUAAGUUUUGUUUUGUUUUGUAUAACCUUCCUUUCAUAUAAGUUUUGAAUAUGAUGUUUUUUUUGUUGUUAAGUUUUUUUUUUCCGUAUAAGUUUCGUCUUGUUUAAGCAACUAUGACUUCACAAUACUAUGGAUUUCUUUGUUGUUAUGUUUUGUUUUGAUUCACAUUAGUUUUGUUUAAGUUUAGUUAGUUUGAACUUUUC
rnacentral:lncRNA from 1 species